UUGAUUUCCAACGUAAGUUUUUUAACUUUAGAACCGACACAAAUAACUGUAACAUUGUAGAAGAAGAUGGUCAGAGUGGUGGCCCUUCGGAAAUUGGAAGCGAGGUUCAUUGUCACCUCCACUGCCCAUUAAUGAGGGAACCAAAAUUGUUGAAUCUCAUAACAUAACAAAUCCAAAGAAUUCUAUGGGUCCAAAGGCCAUGGCAAGUACUCAAGUUUGGGCUGGCAAGCGUCUCUACUCUCUCCAUUGGGCUUUCUGGUAAAGUUGUAACUUGUUCUUGACCUGCUCCGACUUACCUCCGUCGUUUCACGCCGCGACUUUCGUACGGCCGGGAGUAUGCCGCUAAAAUGGGUUUUGCAUUGGCAACCGAAUGCCGGCAGCACUGUUAACAGUCAGAUCCUCAACGAAGUUUCUCAAUGUGUUGAGAGUAUCCAUGGCGUUAAAGGGGGCAAGUGGAAAGCUACUCUCACCUUUUACAGGCCCAUCUUACGAGACCAAAACUUACCGGCGGCCGAGUUCCC